ensembl:lncRNA
GUGCAUCGGUGACGUUUUACCCCCAUCGACUAUUAAAAGCUUCCCCAACCAGAAACUGUGGAUUGAUGGCAGCAUUCGCGCAAAACUGAAAGUGCAAACUACUGCUUUAACUCAGGGCAAGGCGACCGAAAACAUGACCAAAUACAAACAGUGUAGCUAUUCCCUCCGCAAGGCAAUCAAACAAGAUCAGCGUCAGUAUAGAGACAAAGUAGAGUCACAAUUCAACGGCUCAGACAAGAGAGGUAUGUGGCAGGGUCUACAGUCAAUCACGGACUACAAAAAGAAAACCAGUCCCGUCGCGGACCUCGAUGUCUUGCUCCCAGGCAAACUAAAUAACUUCUUUGCUCGCUUUGAGGACAAUACAGUGCCACCGACACGGCCUGCUUCCAAAACCUGUGGGCUCUCCUUCACAGCAGCCAACGUGAGUAAAACAUUUAAAUGUGUUAACCCUCACAAGGCUGCCAGACCAGACGGCAUUCCCAGCCGCGUCCUCAGAGCAUGCGCAGACCAGCUGGCUGGUGUGUUUACUGACAUAUUCAAUCAAUCUCUAUCCCAGUCUACUGUUCCCACAUGCUUCAAGAGGGCCACCAUUGUUCCUGUUCCCAUGAAAGCUACGGUAACUGAGCUAAACCACUAUCGCCCCAUAGCACUCACUUCUGUCAUCAUGAAGUGCUUUGAGAGACUAGUCAAGGAUCAUAUCACCUCCACCCUAUCUGACACCCUAGACCCACUCCAAUUUGCUUCCCGCCCCAAUAGGUCCACAGACAACGCAAUCAAUCACACUGCACACUGCCCUAACUCAUUUCAGCCCUCUCCUGUACUCCCUGUUCACCCAUGACUGCACGGCUAUGCACUCCUCCAACUCAAAUAUCAAGUUUGCAGACGACACUACAGUGGUAGGCUUGAUUACCAACAAUGACGAGACGGUCUACAGGGAGGAGGUGAGGCCCGCAGAGGGUGGUGUAAGGAAAAUUAUCUCACACUUAACGUCAACAAAACAAAGGAGAUGAUCGUGGACUUCAGGAAACAGCAGAGGGAGCUGCUCCCUAUCCACAUCAACGGGACAGUAGUGGAGAAGGUUGAAAGUUUUAAGUUCCUCGGCGUACACAUCACGGACAAACUGAAAUGGUCAACCCACAUAGACAGUGUGGUGAAGAAGGCGCAACAGCGCCUCGUCAACCGCAGGAGGCUGAAGAAAUGUGGCUUGUCACCAAAAACACUCACAAACUUUUACAGAGGCACAAUCGAGAGCAUCCUGUCGGGCUGUAUCACCACCUGGUAUGGCAACUGCUCGCCCACAACCGUAAGGCUCUCCAGAGGGUAGUGAGGUCUGCACAACGCACCACCGGGGGCAAACUACCUCCAGGACACCUACACCACCUCUCACAGGAUGGCCAAAAAGAUCAUCAAGGACAACAACCACCCGAGCCACUGCAUGUUCACCCCGCUAUCAUCCAGAAGGCGAGGUCAGUACAGGUGCAUCAAAGCUGGGACUGAGAGACUGAAAAACAGCUUCUAUCUCAAGGCCAUCAAGACUGUUAAACAGCCAUCACUAACAAUGAGUGGCUGCUGCCAACAUACUGAUUCAAAUCUCAAACCACUUUAAUAAUAACAAAUUGGAUGUAGUAAAUGUAUCACUAGUCACUUUAAACAAUAGCACUUUAUAUAAUGUUUACAUAUCCUACAUUACUCAUCUCAUAUGUAUAUACUGUAUUCUAUACCAUCUACUGCAUCUUGCUUAUGCCGUUCGGCCAUCACUCAUCCAUAUAUUUAUAUGUACAUAUUCUUAUUCAUUCCUUUACACUUGUGUGUAUAAGGUAGUGGUUGUGAAAUGGUUAGAUUUCUUGUUAGAUAUUACUGCAUGGUUGGAACUAGAAGCACAGGCAUUUCACUACACUCGCAUUAACAUCUGCUAACCAUGUGUAUGUGACCAAUAACAUUUGAUUUGAUUUGAUUUAGACCUGGGACACCAGGAAGGUGCAAUUAAUUAUUAGGUCGAACAGAAAACCAGCAGGCUCCGGGCCUCGAAGGGCAAAAUUCCAGGUAACCUUGGAGUGGAAAGUUAUGCCUUACCAGUUUGCUUCUGAGGAAGAGCUGCAAAAGAAAGUAAGUAGCUGUAUUAGGUGGAAAUAUAGAAGGUCAUUUCGUCCAACUUCAUUCAAAAUAUAGAUGUUUUUCUUGAGACAAUAUGUGUGGGUAUAGGCAGAUGUUGUAAUUGGAGGAUGCAUUUGGGCAUAUUCUAUAAUGAGAUUCAAUAGACUACAUCUGUCCGUACAAACGUUGAGAAAUGAUGACGUAAUUUAAAUUUGUAUUGCUCUCUUCCACCUUAAACCCCAUGAGCUCUCUC